GGCCGGGUCCUGGAGACCGGAACCCGUGAACUCCGCCAGGUCCGAGAGGAAGCAACGGUAGUCGGUGCUUUCGGGGCUUCGGGGGUGCCCGGUUCUC
rnacentral:SRP_RNA from 1 species